AAUUAGGAGGUUUGUGUUGUGUUCUGCUGCUUUUUAUCUGUUAGAGGCUGGUUCUGUUGAGUGACAGCAUGGGGAGCAACUUCAGCAUGCAGACCUGCUGUGGGAGUUGUAAGAAGCAGGAGGAAGCAUAUGAAGAGACUAGUGAGACCAAGCCAAUUCUGCACACCUCAGGGGGCACACCAAUGCACACUGAUACGCAGCCUCCCCCACCAGCCCUGGAAGCCUCUGAAAGAAUCUCUGAAGAAGCUCAAAGAGGCUGAAGUCCUGGAUCAGCAAGAAGGAGAGAAAGCAUGUAAUGCAGAAGAGAAAAUAAAACCUACUCCUUAUGAUGAGGCCCAGCUGGCUAUGCACACAGCUCAGGAUCUGAAGCUUGUUGCAGAUAUAGGACAGCCUGCUGAACAGGCUGGGGCUGGCAGUGAGGAUGACCAACAUGCUGAAAUAACUCCCCAAGAAAUAAAUAAUCUCGAGCUCAUGGAAAGCACAUGGGAAACUGCAGCUGCUCAAGACUUUGAGAUAGAGCCUCCCAUGGAGACUGGUGAGAGUUUCACAGGAUGGAACUUGCCACUCUGUGUUGUGCAGAAGAUGGCAAAAGAGGCUGAGACCGACCUUCCUGCUGGGCACACAGAGCAGGCAGACAGGGCUGGCCUUGCUGAAGGAAGUACUGAACUCACUGAGAGUGUCCAGAUCACACCUCUUGCAAAGGCUGCCUCUCUAAUGAAUGUGCAGGCUGCAGAGGAGACUGAGAAUGCAGUGGAUCCUUCAGAAGCCAUAGUGAAUGCUGUGGCUGAGAUGCACUCUGUUUCUGCAGUGCCUCAGGAAACCCUGUAUCCAGGAGGGCAGACUCCAGAGCCAGCCAACCAGCUGCUUGACUUACAGCAAGAGGCUCAGUCUGGUGUGCCAACUGCACGAGAGGUGCAGAGCCAAAGCUGUGCAGAACCUGCUGAACUCGGUGAGGUUUUAAGUGAUGAAGACCAGGAAGUCCUUUGUGAUACAGCAGACAGUGAGGAGAGCAGGGAAUGUGAUCUGGAAACUCCAGCAGAUGAGGCAGAGCCACAGGAGAGUGUUGUGCAACAAAUGCUGCAGCUUCCAGCAGAACUGGCUUGUGCUCAGGUGCCUGCAGAGGAAGAAGCUGAGUUUCUCAGUGUGGUACCCUUGCUGUAUGAAGUGCCUGGGAGUGGAGGAGAUGGACAGGUUGAAAAUGCUGAAGCUUGAGAGAAGUGAGGAUGGAUGGGUUGGUAUUCAGUGCCUUUGGGAAUUUCAGCCCCCCAAAAAAAGCAAUUAGCCUUUUGAACCCAGUGUUUGUUUUUCUUUUUCAAGUGUGUCCUGGACUUCAGAAAGUGACUUUGCUAAAGAGAUGUGUGAGGUGUGCAAUAGAUGUUUCUAGAAAUUCUCCUGGGUUAUAGCUUGGUUGUACUUCUGUUUAGUAGCUGAUUUGCAGGAGAUCUUGCUUUACUGGGAGAGGAGUGAUUCACUUCAAUAGUGGUUUCACUGAAGGAAUGCUGAGCACUGCAUCCCCCAGUGUGGUACAGUGAUAGGAGGUUCCAGUGCAAAGUCUUACAAGUCUGUGGACAGGACAGACAAAAGCUCCUCUAACCCAGCACAGUCAGAUGCCUUCUGUAGCUCACAGACACCGAAUCAAACCUUCCAACCACCUCCUUUUCUACUUGCACAUUUGGUGACUGUUACUUUGGAAGCAUUGAACGUGCUUUCAUGAGUCAAUGAAAUAAUACUCUGGUUUGUUCUUUGUAUUUCUGGUGAUAGCUGAUACAAUCUGUACUCUGUGCUCAUACAAUCUGUACUCUGUGCAGAACUUAAAGAAACAAAUGUAGUCUUGAUCAGAAUGCAUAAGUCAGUGUAUUGCGGUUUAAAUCUACUGACUUUUAAUGUUCAUGACUUUAUGACACCAAUAAAAUAUUUUAAGAUC
ensembl:lncRNA